rnacentral:rRNA from 1 species
GAUGAACGCUGGCGGCGUGCCUAAUACAUGCAAGUCGAGCGAACAGACGAGGAGCUUGCUCCUCUGACGUUAGCGGCGGACGGGUGAGUAACACGUGGAUAACCUACCUAUAAGACUGGGAUAACUUCGGGAAACCGGAGCUAAUACCGGAUAAUAUAUUGAACCGCAUGGUUCAAUAGUGAAAGACGGUUUUGCUGUCACUUAUAGAUGGAUCCGCGCCGCAUUAGCUAGUUGGUAAGGUAACGGCUUACCAAGGCGACGAUGCGUAGCCGACCUGAGAGGGUGAUCGGCCACACUGGAACUAAGACACGGUCCAGACUCCUACGGGAGGCAGCAGUAGGGAAUCUUACGCAAUGGGCGAAAGCCUGACGGAGCAACGCCGCGUGAGUGAUGAAGGUCUUCGGAUCGUAAAACUCUGUUAUUAGGGAAGAACAAAUGUGUAAGUAACUAUGCACGUCUUGACGGUACCUAAUCAGAAAGCCACGGCUAACUACGUG